rnacentral:lncRNA from 1 species
UGUAUGCUGUUUGUGUUGGACCCUAGUGUUUCGCUUUUCCUGUUGUUGUGAGCUGUUGAUAGGAUGGGUUUGAUGACUUCUGGGCUUAGCGUGUUUUCUCUGGGUCAGUGGACCGGAGUGUGAUCCAUCUGAGGUAGAGUCAGUCAGUUCAGUUCAGAGGUUAUGGUGAGUAGAUGCAAUCCAGCUGACCUUAUGGUUCUAGAAGUGACUGCAUGAUGUCAUUCUAGGGCGGAUUGAUGCAUUACUCAUGGUACUACCUGUGUCCAUAGAGACAAGGUAGGGGAAUUGGAUGGAUUAGGCAGUCCUUUAGUGGGACAG